rnacentral:rRNA from 1 species
GUCGAACGGGAAUUACUUAUUGAAACUUCGGUCGAUUUAAUUUAAUUCUAGUGGCGGACGGGUGAGUAACGCGUGGGUAACCUGCCUUAUACAGGGGGAUAACAGUCAGAAAUGGCUGCUAAUACCGCAUAAGCGCACAGAGCUGCAUGGCUCAGUGUGAAAAACUCCGGUGGUAUAAGAUGGACCCGCGUUGGAUUAGCUAGUUGGUGGGGUAACGGCCCACCAAGGCGACGAUCCAUAGCCGGCCUGAGAGGGUGAACGGCCACAUUGGGACUGAGACACGGCCCAGACUCCUACGGGAGGCAGCAGUGGGGAAUAUUGCACAAUGGGGGAAACCCUGAUGCAGCGACGCCGCGUGAAGGAAGAAGUAUCUCGGUAUGUAAACUUCUAUCAGCAGGGAAGAUAGUGACGGUACCUGACUAAGAAGCCCCGGCUAACUACGUGCCAGCAGCCGCGGUAAUACGUAGGGGGCAAGCGUUAUCCGGAUUUACUGGGUGUAAAGGGAGCGUAGACGGUGUGGCAAGUCUGAUGUGAAAGGCAUGGGCUCAACCUGUGGACUGCAUUGGAAACUGUCAUACUUGAGUGCCGGAGGGGUAAGCGGAAUUCCUAGUGUAGCGGUGAAAUGCGUAGAUAUUAGGAGGAACACCAGUGGCGAAGGCGGCUUACUGGACGG